UUUCUACUCCCUCCAUCCAAAAAUACUUGUCAUCAAAAUGGAUAAAAAGAUAUGUAUCUAAAACUAAAAUACGUCUAGAUACAUUUCCUUUUAUCCAUUUUGAUGACAAGUAUUUCCGGACGGAGGGAAUAUUUG
rnacentral:pre_miRNA from 1 species